UAAGACAGAGGGUGCAAACGUUGUUCGGAAUUACUGGGCGUAAAGCGCGUGUAGGCAGCUUGGCAAGUCGGGUGUGAAAGCCCUGGGCUCAACCUAGGAAGUGCACUCGAAACUGCUUCGCUUGAGUAUCGGAGAGGAAAGCGGAAUUCUCGGUGUAGAGGUGAAAUUCGUAGAUAUCGAGAGGAACACCAGUGGCGAAGGCGGCUUUCUGGACG
rnacentral:rRNA from 1 species